rnacentral:lncRNA from 1 species
UGCUACUGUAGAUGCCAACAGACUACCAGCAAACACAAUGUUUGCAGGACUUCUACAACUAGGAUAAAGUGACAUAGUCCAGGACCUGAGGUCAACAGUUUAGCGGCGCUACAACACGCAGCAGGUCCCGUUUGAUAAGAAACACUUCUGUUACAGACACUUGGCUUACUUUGUUAAAGCGGUUUACCUGUCCAGCAGAAAGGUUACAGGGUCACCAAGAUCCCCAAGCGUCCCCCUAUCGUUUAUGUUGACCCAGCUUUUAGCUCUUUUUAAGCGCCCGUUAUUCCGCCAGAGUCUCCAGUAUUUACUUCGUUUUUUUGUUUGUGUUGGCAGUCGUGGCCAAAGGAGGAUUCAGACAAUUUUCCGAACUUUCUGGUUGGUUUCUACUGUCCGAUAUUGUAGCACGCUAACUUUGUAUGGGCUCGUGAAUGUUAUUCAAGGAUGUGGAGUGUGCCUCACAUCACGAGGGAGCAAUGUCCACCUCACAACCAAUCAGGUUGGGGGAGGCAGAGAACACCUUUGUUUACAGUCAGAAAGAGCGGGCCGCUGUUAAAUGUUGACUACACAGUCAUAAGAAAACACAGAGAUAUCAUUAUAUGAUGUCAUCAAUAACUAAUAACUAUUGACUGAUAUUUAAAGUUUUUUUGUAAAUACACCACAAAAAAAGAUGCUUCUUUAAGGGAUUCCUGCCUGCCCCACCUUCAAUCACAGUAUGUGCACAUCCCUGAUGUACUUAGACACGUCGAUUCUUCUUUUUCUUUUUAUCACCGGGUCAUCCUCACUUGAGGCUGUAGUUGCCCCUGUUUCCCCUGCUUCUCUUUCCCCCCACUCUUCUCCCAUAGUGAAUAUGCGCCACAGACCAUAUUUUCUAGCGAAUAUGCUAAUUCUAUUUGCGUUGCACCAGGUGUGUAAAGGAAAAGGCGCAAGCCUAAUAUUUCGCUUUUUCAAGUCCCUUCGGUAAUUCGCCGGUGUGUAAUGACCACUGACUCUGCGACAGAAAAUGGGGGAGUUCUGCACAAACCAGGAGCUCAAAUUGUUUCCCGAGAAAUUACGACAGUACUUCGGACAAUGUCAAGACCUGCUCCAUCAGCUGACUCCAAGUUUGCAGAAGGAUUGAACAAAUUACAGAGAGCCGAUUGAUCCAGAGCAACGGCUUGCAUUUUGAUUGGCCAGAGGUCUAGAAGUUCGCCUGCGAAUGUUGGCAAAAUUCACUACAGGGCCAAAAAAGUACAGUUGCUUUUUCACUCUGCGGAAGUUUGUAGCCAGUGUGGAAGGUUGCGUUGACUUCAUGAGGUUUUAAGAAAAACCUCACGGAGUGUAACAACCUUAAUGAUGCUAAUCUGUGAAAGAUUUUAACCUUAAUAUAUCAAAUAUCAGGAAAAACAUGAAACUGCAUCAUUUAGCAGCUUUCUGUAAAACCCAAUCGCUUUGUAAGGGCCGACAACUUGUCUGGGGUUAACUCUGAGACUUUCUGAGACUCUGACCCCUGAACUAAAGGAAACCUGUGAUGAUUUAUGAAUUAAUUUUGGUAAAAUAGUCAUAGUUUUGUUGUUAGCUGACCAUGCUGAAUAGAAUCCAAUAGAUCAGCUCUUUUACGAAGUAGUGGGUGCUGGGAAUAAGAUUUGUUAUGGAGGCUGUUGUGACUGUAAAUGACAUACUUUAUUAUUUGUGUCCUGCUAACUUAGACCUCUCCAGAUUCAGAUAAAUAUUCGAGUUUAGAUUGUAAGUAAACGACCAUCAAACCACCGUCGUCUGGACAAACUGGUGAGAAAAGCUGGCUCUGGGGUUGGAGGAUGUGGUGGAGAGAUGCUCACUGAGGUUAUUCUGAAGAACAUGGAUCAUCUACUUCAUGACACCAUGAUAGACCAAUGGUGGUGGACGGUUCCUCUCACUUACCCAAAGCCAUUAGACUGUUUAAUUCUUCUGUAAAUAGUAAAAAAGAAAGAAAGAAAGAAGAACUUGAUUGAUCCCUGAUAGGAAAUUCAUUCAUUCUAGUAUUCGAGACUCCAGAUAAAUGAAUCUCUGGAUCACUUAAGUUUUAAAGUGUGUGUUGCCACUCAGGUCAAAAAUUGCAGCUGUUUUCUGAGACAUCACAAAGGUAUGAAAAAUUUCCAUGAGAAUAGUUUUUUUUUAUUCUCCAAGGGAAAGGCCGACCUGAAUACUUGAAUAUAUUCUAUAUAUUUGUCCAAAUUUUCAGAUUUCCCUCUAAAAUGCUCCUUUCACAAAGCAGACACAUUGAUAUUCUGAUGAAAACUGUACCUAUUCUUGAAGCCAUGACUCAGCUGAACCCCAACAAACAGAAAGGUUAUAAAUAUUUAUUUAUUAUUCAGUGUGACACCUCCUAUCUCUGGGUAAAGGUACAUAAAUCUGCUUGUGGAGGCUCUUAAACGAUAAAUCAGUUUGUCAAUCUUAACUUAAAAUCACCAAAGAUGUUUAAUUAUCAUAAUCUUCCGCUGAAAUUUGACUCAUCCUUGAUUUUGUUUCAAGGAAAAUUAGAUGCCGGUGAAGAGUCUCAAUAGCUUAUGCUUUCAAACUUCAAAACUUCAUCAAAAAGUCCAAAAAUAUUGGAAAAAAAGGUCCGUAAUAAUUCUGUCGACCAAGUGAAGUAGAUAUAAAACAAGUGCUUUGACAGUUGACAUAAGAAAACAAAACCCUGAGAGGAAACAAACGACAGAAGAACCCAGAAGACAGGUGAAGAAACUAAAGCGUGUGAAAACAAGACAUUUAAAACCUCAGAGUAACCUGAUCGAACUCUAAACAAAGAGAAGUGUCUGUAUACCAUAGAGAUAAAGUAAACAGAGUGAGCACAGCAGCUAAUGAAAACAAACUAAAUAAAGAGUUCAGUAAAGGACUCUGUUUACAGUGUGCUAAUAGAAAUAUUAGAUGUCCAAGAGGUUUUCUGUUUUCCAGACUGUGAAAAUUGUGGAUAAAAUUAAAAAGUUUCAACCUCAAACUUUAUGUUGAAUGUUUUUAUAGUCCGGCCUCUUCUCAGUUUGAUGAAUGUGUUAACAAUAGCAGGAUUAUUCAAGAGUCCAUACAUGUAAACAGACUAAUACAUAAACGUGUUCAUGUCUGGUCACUAAUAUACGAGGUGAGUUCGGUUCAGAUCGGAGUCUGAAUGUCUGAGUUAAACACCCUGAGUUUAGGGGCUCACUACGACCACGCCCUUUGACUUGAACUCAAACCUUUGAUAAUCUUCUCUGUUAAAAAUGCAAAACUUAUGAACAGUUUACAAAUAGAACUUAAAGACCCACUCCAGUGGAAAUCAUGUUGUUCUUCUUGUCUACAUGUUCAUUUUUCUGAUGCUUCAGGACAUAUCAUGAGAAAACUAAAUGUGAAAUCGCAUUUCUGGGUAUUUCUGCAUUCAAAUAUUUGUGAAUCUCUAACAGACCCAAACGGUAGUAUCAGACACAGUGAGAUUUCCUACGUAGCAAAUCCAAGCUCUGCCCCCAGAGACUCGGAGAAGUAGAGAGGACAACCGCGGAAUGAGCGUGUGCGUUAGUGAAUUGCAAUUCUUGUAAGAAAGCAAAUUAUGAUAUUAGAUUUCAUCAUGUCCCCAAACACAUCAGUGUCUGAGAGCUGAAUAGCUCCUAUGUUACCUGCUACUUCUACUACACCGGCAAUGUGACCCCCAAUUUUUACUGCAUCCAGAACGGCUCUGAUUCGGAACGGCAAUGGUUUUCGCUGUCCACCAAUUCCUACAGGAUCCGUUUGUGAGUCGAAUUUCGUGGUGGAUUACGGACAGCAGGAAUCACAAGAACUCACAAGAACCUGCGGAUUCACAUUCAAUUGCGCGAUAUUGAGUUGUCCCUAUAAAGACAGCCACAUAGACAUAUAAGCAGUAGAUUGUGUCCUUGGGGGUGUCCUCCAAAAGGAGGACAUGUCCGAAUAAAAGAAGACGUACGAUCACCUUUACUCUCCUCACAGUUUUAAUCAGCUGGGUAGACUUUGUCUGAUGUUUGGAUAAUAAUCCUGCCUGAGCUCUUGCUUCUCUUUGUCGACUCGCAAAUACGAACGAGGAGAAAAUAUUUCUGGGUGUUUUCAGAUAAGACUCAGAUGAUGACAUUCUCAGAAGAACAGACUGACAGACUAAAAUAUCUCACUUGUUUUGUGGGGAUAACUUUCCUCCAUCUCUUUAAUCAAGUAAAAGUAGGACUCAGGAUCCACCAGGUUUCCUAACAAGGAGAAUUUAUCCUGGUUUUCACCCACAGAUGGAGUCACCUAAAGUACAGAUUCUUUUAGAAACUCUGGAUGCUUUUAGAAACUCCAGUCUGAGGAAUAAGAAUGAUGUAUUGAAAGUUUUUUGCAGGUAAUUAUUAAUAAACAGCAGGUUGACUCACCUACUUGCAAAAGUUUGAGAGAAAUAGAAUCAAAGUUUCUCCUAAAGGUGGAUUUUGUAUAAAUAUAAUGUUGAACCAGAAAAUUUUAAUUGUUUAAUUUGAUGCCAGCAACAAAACUGAGGAUGCGGCAUCUAUGAUUUCUGAUUCUUCAUUCGUUAGGUGAAAGGUCUCAAGUAAGUCCAGUUGUCCUUUCUAUGCAGUGAUUCCUACUCCAGAGUAGGGCUGAAACGAUGUCUCCAAUAUCUCGUGUACCUCAAUUACAAAUAAUGAUCAAGGAAUUUUCUCUGCCUUGAGUUCUCGUUUAUAAGCUCAAAUCGUCACUGUUUCGCACUGAUUCUUUUGAAGGUGACACAAUGCGCUUACAUCAUUAUGGUAGAAGGAGGAGUAAGAGCUGUUUUGGUUUUGCGGAGCAGGAAAAAUAAAUGAUGAGAGGGGCUUUUCUUGCAGUGUUGCCAGCCUAGCGACUUUAGCGACUUUUUAGACCCCCCUGGUGAAUUAUUUUCAAAAAGCACCUAGCUACAAAUCUAGCAACUUUUUCUGGAAUUUAGAGACUCUAACAUGAAAGCAGGUAUCAUUAUUACUCUUCUAAAACACAGACACAGACAGACACCCCGAAAAAGACUUCUCCUCCUGCUUCUAACCGGCUGGGGGAAGGUGGGGAGAAGGGGGGUAGUGAGUUCGACUGAGAAAUUAUGCAAAUUAGGCGAUGGCGUCAUGCAACUUCUAGCUAUUUUUACAACAGCCACUAGCGACUUUCCUCACUGAGAAGUUGGCAACACUGUUUUCUUGUGCAGAGCUCUAGUAGCUCAUUAGCACUUGGCCUCUGAGUCGUGGGUGGGGACAGCGCUGCUCAGCACACUUCUCUUCACGCUAGCUUGCAGCCUAACAUUGCUGGUGUCAUAGCAGAAUCAGGUAACAUUGGAGCUAUUCAGCUCUUGGACACACACGUGUCUUUGGGGGCAUGAUGAAAGUUAAUAUCAUAUUUAGCUUUCUUACGAGCAUUGCAAUCCGCUAACGCAUAUGCUUGUUCUGCGAUUGUCCUCUACUCUUCCGAGUCUGGCCUUCAUUGCGGGGCUAUAGGAAAUCUAACUUAAUGUGAGUCUGCCGUUUGGAUCCAAUUACUCGAGUAAUCGAUAGAAAAUUCGAUAGAAUACUUGAUUACUAAAAUAUUCGAUAGCUGCAGCUCUACUCCAGAGUCCUGUCUGUUUUUAAUGUCCUGAAGAUCUGGACUCAGCCUCUCUGAAUGUUUUUUUUAGACCUGGUCAUGUGACUCACCUUUUGGACAUUCACCUCAUUAGAUGUAGACGUUCCUUCAGAUGUUUUUAAGCAAUAAAACUCUUUCAAAUGUUUUUAAAGGUUUUAUCCUAACUUUUAGGUUAAUGGUUUGAUAAGCAACUUAUGGUCCAAUCAGAUACGCAAGGCUUCUAUUUUUGCCGGAUGCCGCAGCAUCGAUUCAGUGCGGCGCAGAGGUGAGAGGCAAAUCUCACCUCUCUGUGUGUCGCUGUCGGCAGAAACAACACAACAGCGAGCAGCACGCCGCUAAACAAGUGCAAGUCAUUGUUCUUUAAUAUCGCGGAAAAGUGGAGAGAUUAAAAAUAAAUAAAUAAAUAAACAUGUCAGCUGUAGCAGGAAUUCUGAUACUUUUAAAGAUAUCAAAUAUUGUAUUUCUUUAAAUCAACUGAAAUUAAAUCCUUCUCACAGGAACGUUAAUACACAUGUAUUAAUGUAAAGGCACUAUAAUGAUCUGUUUUAUCUUAGCCUCAGUCAACCAACCGCUGCUCGGCAGGAAGUGAACGAUGCUACACCCCUCCCUCCUCUGCCUGCAUCAAAUCAAAUUAUAAGACUCCGCCUGCUCGCUAACUGGCUGGCUGGCUGUGUGUCGUUCGCCAAAGAGUCAAAGCCGGCAGUUCCACUCCUGACCGACAUGCCAGGCUCACGGCUGAGCUCAACUAAACUGAGAAAGGAACGAAUCAGGACUUGGAGUGAUUCCAUUCACGUCGUUCACUCAGCAGUUCUGUUCUUUUGAAAGAAACGUUCAUGAACGAAACAACACUACCGCUAGUCUCAUUCAAUGUCUCACUGUGAAACCUGUGAGAUCUUGUCCAGUCUCGCGAGAAAUAUCUGUAGCAUCGCAAGCAGUUCCCUUCCGCUUGAGGUGGUGGAUUGGAUCUGGUGGGCGCUGUAUGCUUGCGUUUUUAGGAGUAACAAAUGUAUGAGUAUUUCUUUGUGAAUUCAAACAGACAUCCAUGUUUGGUACAGUCAAGUUCCUCUAAUGAAACUGAAAUAAUAUUGACAUCUCUUUAUGAGCUACAAAGGCCAACAAGAUCAUCAUCAGCAGCAGCAGAAAGAUAGAUCCCAUCAUGCUCUUCUCUAACAUCUUGAAUGCUCGGUGUGUUUUUUUUUUGCAGACUCUCGUUCUCCAAACACAGGAAGAAGAACCUGUGGCUCAUUUUUCAUCCUCUUCACUUACCUUUAUCCUCAUUCAGGAUAGAGACAGAUGGGCUCAUAAAGCAGGAGCUGAGUGAGCGAUACCUGGGCCAGGUUGGACUCUAAACAGUCAGCAGAUAAAAUCAUUUUCACUGCUGAACCGUUGGCCUGCUUCAAACUGAGCAGCUGCAGCUCAGCGAGGUCUGGGUGACGGCUCAGAGCCCGGGAAGCCCUUUAGUGGUCAUAUGUGGAGCCCAGAACCAACAGCUGAUGGUGUACAGGACGGGGUUUGUUCCAUUUGAGAUAAUAAUCAUGCAUAAAUUAUGAAUAUAAUGUCCUGUUUGUGUGAUUAUUGUAUGUAAGAGUCAGGAAAUGGCAGAAAAACUGUGCUGCAGAUCCCUGCUGAACCAAAUCACUCUCAAAAAUCCUGUUUGCAAAGAUAAGGAGAAAAAUGCAUCAAGACAAGAUCCUCAUAAUUAAAACAGCAGCCCAUAUUUUCACUCAUCUGAUGCUUAUGUUGUGUAAUUUCACGGAUAAUUAACCCUCUUAGAUCAUCAUCGUCUGUUCAAUACAGGAGAAAAUGAGACACACAGACAGAUCCGACAAUCGUCCUUCUUUUCUCUCUGCCAACUUUCUUCAGUGUUUAUCCAUCAGGCCUGGCUCUCAUUUUUUCACUCCUGUGGUUUAAAAGAGUUCGUUCCAGAUGAUACUUGGCAGCCAUCUGUGCACAUGACUGUAAAAACCAGAACCCAAAGACAGUGAAUGAAAAAACCUCCUACUGGUUUAAACGCACUGUCAGAACGACGACAAACGUCUGAUGAUGUUAUUGAAUACAGCGUAAAAGUGAGUUAGCUUAGCUGCUACAGCUCCGACCAGUGUCGAUGAAUACAUGAUUAAUGAUGACAUAUUUUGAAGGUACAGUGUGUAGAAAUGGGAUAACUAUUUAAUAUCUAGAAUCUACAUCGACGAGCUCCGGUGCUCACCCCUCCAGUCAGUUAAAGGUGGGGUAGGCAGGAAUCUGUAAAAGAAGCAUCUUUUUUGUGUUGUAUAAACAAAAAAUCUUUUAAUAUCAGUCAAUAGUUAUUAGUUAUUGAUGACAUUUGGUAAUAUAACAAUAUUGCUGUGUUCUCUCAUGUCUGUGUAGUCGACAUUUUACAUUUUUGAGUGGUCUGCUCUAUCUGACUGUAGAUAAAGCCGUUCUCUACCUCCCUGACCUGAUUGGUUGUGAGGCAGAUGCUGCUUCCCCGUGUCGUUCAGGAGCCCAAACAAAGUUAGCGUGCUACAAUAUCGGACAGUAGAAUGACCAGAAAGUUCGGAAAAAUUGUCUGUGUCCUCCUUUAGCCACGACUGCAAACACAAGCAAGAAAACGAAGUAAAUACUGGAGACUCUGGAGGAAUAACGACGCUUAAAAAGGAGGUAGACCGGACAAGAGCUAAGAAGCCGGGUCAACAUAAAUGAUGGGGGACGCUUCGGGAUCUUGGUGACCCUGUAACCUUUCUGCUGGACAGGUAAACCGCUUUAACAAAGUAAGCCAAGUGUCUGUAACAGAAGUGUUUCUUGUCAAAUGGGACCUGCUGUAGCGUGUUGUAGCGCCGCUAAACUGUUGACCUCGGGUCCUGGACUAUGUCACUUUAUCCUAGUUGUAGAAGUCCUGAAAACAUUGUGUUUGCUGGUAGUCUGUUGGCAUCUACAGUAGCACCAAUGCUUUUUACUUUCACCUUGACUUGGCCCCAUUCGUAAUUAUCUAAAGUAUUUAUCUGCACGAUAUCUGAAUUUAAUUGGAACGAUAUGAGCGAGCAGGAGCGUCUGUUUGUGGGCGGGGCUUGCUAGAGCAGAGAGGGAGGGGAGAGGAGGAGCUGAGGGGAAAACUGGUUGGCAGGGGUAGAGUUUACAUUCAAGAUUUCUCUCAAAAACUGGAACUUCUUCAGAUCCUGACUACCCCACCUUUUAAAGGUACAGUGUGUAGAAAUGGGAUAAUUAUUUAAUAUCUAUCAUCUGCACUGACAAGCUCCUUUGCUUACCCCUCCACUCAGUGAAAUGAUGGUGGCCUUUGAGGACCAAAAGCUCCCGUGAUGAACAAUAACUAGGAUCCUUUAUUUGUCAAGUUUUUAAUAUUAAAAUGUCAAUUAAUCCAAAUCAUUUGGUGCACAACAACCGCUCUUCUUCUUCACACUAAAUACUAAAAGGUGCAUGCUAACUGUUUGUCCAUUCUGAGCUACCAUAGAAACGUGACGGUGCAAUAUAGCAGCCACGUAAAAAGGGACUAUGCUGAAAUAAACCCCAAUUUCCACCACAUCCAGAACGAAUACGAAAAGGUCGUAUCUGCUGAUUGUCGCUGAUCGUAAAAAUUCAAGUUAACGUGUCAAUUUCCACUGACUUCUUUCCGUUCCUCUGCAGAUUGCCGGACUCCACAGCUGAUCGCAGGAAUUCUAUUUUUUCUGGAUGCUGGAGCAUGCCGGAAAAAUUCAGCAUGGAUUAACCUGUGCUGGAAAGGAAGUCGGGCACAGACCCAAAAUAAAACAUCCGGCUUCUUUUCAAAAUAAAACACUCGUAGGAUCGUAUUUCACACCAUGCAAAUGGGCGGAAAUGAACAAGUGAAAGGUUUUUAGACAUCAUUUCACCCCGAUGACACCAUGGAUGAGGAGAUGCUGAUUCUAGAAGUCUAGAGGUAGAUUUCCUCCUCUGGAAGAACACAAUCUACUCCUUAUAUGUCUAUGUGUCAGUCUUUAUAGAGACAACUUGUUAUCGCGCGAUUGAAUGUGAAUCUGUGGGCUUAGUGAGUUCUUGGGAUUACCGCUGUCCGUAAUCUGCCACAAAAAUUCGCCUCACAAACGGAUCCGGUAGGAAUUGAUGGACGGCAAAAAUCGCUGCCAUUCCAGAUUGGAGCCGUUUCGGAUGCAGUGAAAAUUGGGAGUAAGGGUUACCAAAAACAACAUGACUUUCAUAUCCAUGUGAUUAUACCGUUGUCGUAGUGAUCAAGUCUGUUCUGCUAAUUAGUUUUACCUUUAAGACAGCAUAUAUGUGAGUUAAUACUGCUUCUGUCCUGCAAGUGGCACUAUUACUAUGUCAAAAAUUUAUAUGAAUCAGUGAGUCAGUGCCGUGUAUUUUCACAGGGUGGCGCUAUGACUGUAACAGAGUAAUGGGCACGUACGUAGAGGUGUUUAGGGGUGGACCUUAACCAUGAUUAUGAACUAUCAAAGUGAUUGACGUUUGUAUUGGAGUUGAAUUAACUUCCUGUUUCAUGUCUAAUGCUGGCAGGACAUGAUCAGGGCUUAAACUGAAGGGGGCGCUGUGAUUUCACCAGGCCUGACACGUCUUCAAAAUCUGACGAGUUUUGACGCAUGUUCAGACCUCCAAAUCUGAAUCCACUGAGCUGAAAUGGUCGCUCGCAUGUCACCUCUACUUUCCUCUCGUGUGACAAAUUAUGAAUAAAAACUCACAUGCGCUGCAAAAACAACAGAGGGAGUCUGUAAUACAUCAGGCUGUAAUAACUGCACAUUCAUCACACUAACACACCACAGCAGCUGCUGCGGUGAGCCGCCGUGAUAAGAGACGUUUAAACAGGAAGGUGACGUGUCCCCGCUUUGAUAAGAACACAAGAACACUUUGCCUCAAACACAUGGGGGAAUUUAUCAUGAAGGAGCCAGCAGAUUUCAGAAAACAUCCGAUUUGGUUCUAUCUCCCCAUAAAUGUGUUUGUAGGUGUCCCUAAACUGCAGAAUAUACAUUAAUAUUAAACAGAGAUUAUUAAAUUCUGAUUUUAUACUUUCUCCCUCGCUUGCUCGCUCACGACGUAGACACCGCUCAUUGUCUCCUUGUCAUUGCAUCUUCUCCUGGCUCUUUAUGAGACAGAGUUAAUGAAAGCAGGAUGAGUGGGCAUAAUAAUGAUUUAAGGUGUUAAUAUGCGCAAAGUGCUCAAUAAAAGUUUCCUGCAAAGUGGAAAAGUUGAAUUUGCAACCUGAAUACUGUCUGAGGAGAAAGUGUGUGUGUGUGUGUGUGUGUGUGUGUGUGUGUGUGUGUGUGUGUGUGUGUGUGUGUGUGUGUGUGUGUGUGUGUGUGUGUGUGUGUGUGUGUGUCACACAAACGAAGGGAACAGUUUAAGGUUAGAGAGGGAGAUAAAUAGAGUGCUAACAUGGUGACCUCCCUGAAUAAUGAACCCGUGAACAUAAAGUAUUCAGAGGGUUCAGAGGCAGCGGGACCCUGAGCUCGAACCCUGCACCUCAGCAUUAAUGAUUCAUCAGCAGGAACCCGGGGAUCAAAUAUGUGAUCCGUGUUUUAUAUUCAGCUCCUUUAAGUCUCUGCAGACGGAGCAUCCAUGGGAAAUAUUCUGUAACCGACUCCCUCCGAGUAUUUCAGCCCGAUUAAUUAUACGCCGCUAUAAUCUUAAUCAUCAGUUAAAGUACAGGAAUCAAGAUGUCAGGGUGACCCCUGAGGUCAGUCAGGGGCUGAUCACUGGACUUAAACUGGAUCAUGUAAAAUCUGGUCUUUUCUUUAUCAGGUUUACGGGGCCUGCAGAAAGAUCCAGAAAUGAUCAGACUCGAGUGGAUUCAAGUUUGACUGCGCCCCAAAAAUCUGCAUAUUUACAAGCAUUUUUCUGUUGCUGAUGUAACUGAUCGCCGCCCACGGUUCAGUCCGCAUGUGAACCACAAGUUGAGAUGAAGUUCAUAAUCAUCGUGUAAAAUCAGUAAUUCUGCAGAGCUGUUUAACCGAAGAUGCAAUCUGAUUCAUGAAGUACAUGCAAAGAGUUUAAUGCACUGCAAACUGCACUGAGCAACAGCUGUUUACACACAGUCAGAGUGGUGACAUGUUGUAUUAGUCUGACUGAAACUGGACUUAAAGGCAUAGUUGAUGAUUGUAAAGAUUGGCAGUUAUUAUGAACCUUGUUUUUAUGUUGAUCAUGGUCCUAUGGUGCGAUCUCCACAAAGUGAAGAGAAAAAAGAAUGGAAAAAAUCCGUUCACCCUAUCAGGUGCAGGGCUGCAAAAACAUUGACCAAUGGGAGCCAUUCAUCCCAGACAGCUCCUAUUGGUCAAUCUCCUGCUCUGCCUCUCCAACCAAUCACCUUGCUGUAUUUGACACACCCCUCUCCUGUAGUUCCGACUCGUCCCCUCCCACUCUCCCGGCAGCAAUAUUUUUUUUUUUUGUAGGAUGGUAGGGGAAGGUCCCUCCUUCGUCUCUGAUUGGCUAGAAGUGCUGGGCUCCGAUUGGUUAUUCCUAAUGGCUGUGAAACGUCAUCGUCUGUCUGGUUAGGAGAUUCAGAAUUGCGAUAAUGUUCUGUAAUGUUCUGUUCGAUGUACAGAGCCAACAGCCCGCGUCUGGCUUGAGCGUGUGAUGAUGUUUCCAGCUUUUCUAGCAAAUCAGAGGCGAAGAAGGCAGGACUUUCCCCUACCGUCCUACAAAAAAAAAAAAAAUUCUCCUCCCAGCCCUCAUCGGAGCUCUGAGUGGCUAAAAGUAGCGUAGCAGCUUAGCUACAGGAGCUGUGAUGGAGAGGGAUGAAAAAAAAAACCACUUCUGCUCUCCCCACUGCCAAAAGUGGCAAGAAAAUACAAGCCAACAGAAGAAAGGGUGGAGUCGGAGAGGAAAUGUGACCAAGUGAGGAAUCAAACUGAAAUAAACAUCGGGUCAUCCUUGGAGCGGUGAAGAAAGCUAUGCCAGGAUUUGGUCCUGAAAACAGACGCUGAGAAAGCAGAGUUUAUGUUGAACAGGUCAUUUUAUCAUGGCACGUUACAUAAAUAACUCUUUUUAGUCUCUGCAAUGUCAACACAGUAGCUGUCUAGACAGCUGCAGACGGCGCUCGCUAUAAGAGCUGGCGUUUACUGCCGCUAGUCACUAACAAUCCGACAUAGUGAAUCCUAUUUGAAGCUAGCGUAGGAUUUAUUAUCGUUAUAGAGUUAUCGUGGAGCACAGAGGGGAGAGGUUUGUGUGUGGGGGGAUGGGACGCUUCUUUUCAAAUCUGCCUCAACGGCUCAGUUUUUUUCAAUUGCUUCUCAGAUCGUCAACAAGGACUUUAAAAAAAUACAACAAUAUAUUGAAGACACCCAGAAAAGGUGCUUUUUGAUCUUCCACUUCAUAUUUCAUCCAUGUGUAGACACAGUUUAGUAAGGCCAGGAUCAGUAAGUAGUUGACACAAGAUACCAGGAUCAGGACUGGUGCACCUCUAUUUUUCAGAUGUUGAAGCCGAAGUUUGUAAGUUACUGUAUAUGUAAAGGCUAAAACAUAAAGGAUGCGUAUUUGGAGCAUGGCAGCAUCGUAUCAAGAGCAGCAAUGCUAAAGAUACGCAACAAGUCUAUUUUUGCUGCUCUACGCUUCCAACACGCGUCAAUCCACACAGAGAAGAUUGUUCUAGACAGGAAGUCAAGCAGGAAAACCGAGCAUGUCAUCUGGUAUUAAAAAAAAAAAAAAAAAACAGGGCCCGACAGUGAGACUGUUUCACUCGCACUUGCGACUUGAAUUGUCAAAUGUAUUUAGGGUCACAUGUGGGCAUAAAAAAAAAAAAAUUGGCUGAGGCAACAAAUGUUUUUUCCCUUUAAAUACCGCGGUGAAGUUAGUUUAGGUUGGAUAUUUGUCAGACAUUCACUGAUGAUCUACCGGUGUCUUCUCACUUUCCAUAACUGAGAAUAACAACAGCAGCGCGAUUAAAUCUACUCGGCACCCUCGCUGUUUACGUCGGGUGUUGAAUAAGGGACCAUCAAUAAAUUACCAGUUGAUGUUCUCAAAAAAGACUGUUUUCCUUCAAUAGCUUCCAUGUGACCAGCUGACCUAAAAUUGAUUUCAAAUAAUAUUACUAAGGUCGGACAAUACGACAAACAUUUUGAUGAAUUUUCAUUGUGACCCCUAAAGUUUUUUGUGUGCUCCUUACUUUUUUAACUUAGGAGCACAUGUGAAAAAAAUUAGUGUCAAGCCCUGAACGCCAUAUGUGAACUCCCGACUGUGUAUCAGUUGGUGUAGAUGAAAAAUCUUUCCUGUUUCUGGAUUUAUCAGAAACACAGAACAAUCUAAUGGUCAAUAUCUGAUCCAUGUGGACCACAACAGGACUUUGAACUGCUAACUCUGUCUAAAGGUAAUCUAAAGGCACAGCAUAAAGGAACAUAGUUUACUUUAUUAAACACCAGUAAACCAGCAAAAACACAAACUGGAAAAUCACUCCAAGCUUUUUUACAUAUAGUAGAGGCUCAACAGUCACUGAAUUAUAUCCAAAUUAUCAGGAAAUCGACCACAAAAAGAAAAAACAUGUUGAGAGCAUGUCAUUUCCACUCCAAAUACGCUGAUCCUGUAUGUGACACCCAACGGUGCUCUACAGAGCAAAUACAGAAUGCGCUCAAUACGGAUCCUGUAUGUUUUCGGCUUAACACUUGUCUUUCAAACAUGUCCGUGUGCUCUGUUACAGUCCAGGUCCCUGUGUGGGCUUCAUCUAGCCCACACAGCUCCAGUGGUUUCAGUUGGGUCAGUGGAGUAGUGACCCUUUUCUCAUGCGAGUACAAACUGUGCACACUGAUCGUGAAUUUAUACACACUCUCCUUUACCUUCUCUAAAAACAACAAACAUUGUAAAUAUUCAUUAUCACUCUUUUUAUGAUUUACAUGCAAACACAGCUGCUCAGUACAGCCUUGUCUGCCUGUUGCACGGCUCUACGCUCUCAUGGUUGUUGUUGUGGCGUGCUAAUGUUUUACAAACCCAAGGCCGUCUCAGGAACAGUCUUUGUGUUUGUAUUCUUCCUGCCUCACAGAAAAAAAAAACAUCUGACCCUGACUCGCCAUCGGCGUUUCUCCUCCGCACUGUCGUCUGGAAACAAGAUGGUUAUUUUUCUAUGUCCUGACACUCGGAGAUUGAAUUUCAGAACAAACAGAUAAACAGGCCGCCACGGGCCUUUUCACAAAGCCUCCACCUACAGAGCGCCAUCUCUGUAAAUCAUAACGCCGCAGAGGGUCGCAGGAGUAAAAAGCAGGGAGGGUCUUGAUAUUUCUCCCCCUCGUACCUGACCUUACAUUUAUAUGACUGAUUUCUGCGCGCAUGUCGGGACCUCUCCUCGGCUGUGCAUGUGGAUUUCAAAUGACUUCUUUAUUCACAUGUCUGAAGCCACACAGAAGUCAUGAAUCAAUGUAAAAGAGGUCAUUUACGUGUUGGAGGAGGGCAGCCCGGGACAAAAACAAGAUUCAUCAUGUGUAGACAGUCUGACAGGAAGGUUUGAUCCUGCUCAGAUAAUGACAAUAGUCACGUGGAGCUGCUGCUGCAGAGUCCUCGAACACUCAGAGGCGGAAAGUUUGGCACUUUCUGACCAAACUAAACUUCUCUCACUCCAAAUCUCUCUUCUUGUCCCCCUCAGUCCAACCUUUGUGCUCCAGUCUCCCAGAACACCCGCCUCCUCACCCGUCACCACCGAGUUAAUGAUGACUGACACCCACGGACACUGUGGGUGAGAGCCGAGCGUGCACACCUCCUCCAAGAGGCAGGUAUUGAUCCAGAACAUUCUUUUCUCUCUGCUCACUGUAGCCGCCGGCUGCUGGAUGGCGCCUGAACCUCCUGCUCGCAGACUGGUGUGACUCGGUGUAACCUCUCCCAGAUGAUAUAAGUUAGGCUGAGGGAGACAAGCUGCUGUAGCCGCUGCUGUCAAUCACUUUUUUUUAUUAUAUUAGACAGAGAGCUUUAAUUCUCCGCCGAGAUCUCAGUUUGUUGAAGAUUGGUGGUGGUGUCGGGGGGAUAUGCAGAAAUUUAUGAGGUCUGGCGUGAUCCAUCAAAAUGAGGCGACAGAAACAGCUGACACCUGCUAAUCUGCUCUGUCAAAAGACAUUCUUAAAGGGAUAGUUCGCUCUUUAAAGUGAGGUUUUCUGAGGUGGUAGAAGAGGGGUUAGGGGUUCUAUCACAAGUCGUAUAGACUAUUGUAAUGCCCUGCUUUCUGCUCUUCCCAAAAGGAAUAUUUCAGGUCUACAAUUAUUAUAAAAUUCAGCGUGUCCUGACCAAGACCAGGAGGCAGGCCCACAUUACAAGGGUUUUAAAAUCAUUGCAUUGGCUCUCUGUGUGUGUUGGGAUCGAUUUUAAGGUUCUUUUACUUGUUUUUAAAUGUCUUAAUGGUCUUGGGCCUUCUUAUCUUUCAGAACUGCUUUUACCUUAUGAACCUUCACAGACCCUGCACUCCUCUGGCAGCAGGCUCCUAGUCAUUCCAAAAGUCAGGACACACACUCAUGGUGAGGCGUCUUUUCAAUAUUACGGCCCUCAUCUAUGCAACAGCCUGCCAGAGGACCUCAGGGCCGCAGAGAACAUUCGUGUUUUUAAGAGCAGGCUCAAGACCCACCUUUUUAGCUUUUAAUUGAUAUUUAUUUGUUUUAUCUUCAUUUAUUCUAGUUAGCCUAGGUUUAUUUUAGGUCUGUGUUUUAUUCAUAUUUUAGUUUUUACUUGUUUUUAUCACCAGGAGCGGUGGUCCCUUGUGGUUGCAGGGGCUUGUCACAGGGUUUCUGGUGGUUGGUGUCUGACUCAUCCCUCCACUGGCCCUGUGUGUGGGUUGGGAUCUCGAAUAGUUUUUGGUUUUUAAACUAACUGUAAAGCACUUUGCGUUACAUCCUUUUGUAUGACAGGUGUCACUUGAUUGAUUUGAUUUGAUGUUUGUGAUUUGCUGAUUUUUCCCUGGAAUUACUUUGCUGUCAGAAAAUGAAAAAAAUUAAAUAAAAUCAAGUACGAGACAAAGCCAAUCCUCCAAGACCCAAAUAUUUUUUUGACACCAGGCUGUGAACACGUUUAUUUCUGUUGUUAAAGUCUGACGUUUUUACACAGAGCUCUUUGAGGACUGACUCACUUUUGAAGAUAGCCUCUAGUGGACACUCAUAGAACUGCAGUUUGUGCUUCUUCAUUGGUUUCUCUUUUUUGGUGAAUCUGGGACCAGACAUCAUCUCUGCUUACUGUCCUGAUUAGUGAAAGGAUUCAAAGACAUCCAUCUGUUGAAGACCGCCCUCCUAAACUCCUCUCAGGAUCCUGUUAGUCCCUGAAACAACAGAAACAAGGAUUUCAGGCCACAACAUCCACCAUCCAUCCUCUGAGCAGAGCAGGACUCAGAGGAUUAUUAUUCCUCCUGCAACUCUGUGAAAUCUGUGAACGUACACAGACAGAAAGCAACUUGAAUAAUGAUCAGAAAUAUCCAUUUAUUAGACAGAGUGCUGACCCAGCUCACUGAGGCAUACAGUGAGGAAAAUCACUGAGGAAUAGAUUCAAUCUCUCUUUAUCUUUCUUCUUUCUCAUACACAAUCUCCUUCUCUCCCGCUGCUUCAUAUAUUUGAGUUAUUCCACCGUCACAGUAAUCGCUCUGUGACUCAGUGAUUCGCUGCUGUAAUAUGAGGUUGCCCUUCUCAACCCCUCCUCUGUCCUCAGCUUUAACCUUCCAGGUGUCUCUUUGUCUCUUAAAUUGCCUGAUCACUGAGGAGAUUCAGCACAGCUGAAGGUUUUCUGAAGGAUCGCUGCCGCCGAGCUUUACAUCGACGAAACUCCUUACAUGUAUCUUCUUGGUUUUUAUUAUUCCCCUCACAGAUGUCUUCUGAAUGCAAAAGCACACGGCGGUGUUGACCAUUUCCGUCAAAUUACCCUGGCUUCUGAUUGAAGGGUACGAGCUGGCAUUUCGUGGCUUUCAAAGAGCACACAGUGAGCAGGCUGAAGAGGUGCAGCGCUGCCUCUGCAGAGACAGCUUUAGUGUGCGCUGCCUUUUUCUGAGUCCAAAAGGUGAGGCUGAUUAGAGGAUUGAGGUGACCUGCUGUCACUGCUGAGCCUGCUGUCUCUGUGUGAGCUCAGGUUUUUAUCUGAUAGAUUCACUCUGUGUCCAUGUUCAGCUUUAUCUGACUGACUUCACAGAGUUAAAUCAAAUAUCUCUGAGGUUUAGUGGCUAAACGUGUCUCUUUAUCCCUACGAAUGCUUGAAAAUCUGUGUGGUUCAGAAUCAUUCCGCAGGACGGAAAAUAGAAAUAAAUUUUUGAGCCUCUACCAUAAGAACCUGACACUCAUAUGAUCAAUAAGCUAACCCAUCGCUUCUGGAAUUUUCUCCACGAGCCAAUCCAGCACAGAACUUGAAGUAAACUGCAGUUCCUCCAGUGUCCACUAGAGGCUGUGUCUAAAAGAGAGUCAGUCCCCAUAGAAACCCAUGUUAAAAAGUCAAACUUUACAGCUUAAUAAAUGGAGUUUACAAUUUUCAAAGAAGAGUCACAUGACGUAUUUGUCAAAUGUUGGGGGAAGACAUGAUAAUGGAAUGAUGUACAAACUGCAAUUCCUCCAGAGUUCACUAGAGGCUGUGUCCAAAAAAGAGUCAGUCCCCAUAGAGCCCCAUGUUAAAACAUCCAACUUACACAGCGGAAAUAAGAUAAAAGCUACAUUUAGAGAAAAACCCAUAUGUUAACAUUUUAUUAAAGGGUAAAUAUGAAUAUAAAGGGGGCGGGGUCUCUUUGAGUGACAGGUGAGAGCUGCUAGCCAUCUGUCUGAUGUUUCCUCAGUUAAUUCAGUCGCUAAACUUAACCUCUGGGCACUUUUUACAGCCAUUAAACUGAAUAAACGCUAAACAUUAGCAUGUUAGCAUGUAAGCAUCAACUUAGCUCGCACAAUUACGAAAGCAAACAGCUUAGAAAUGGAGUUUACCUUUUUUGAAGAAGAGUCACAUGACGUAUUUGUCAAAUAUUAAGGGAUGACAUGAUAAUGGAAUGAUGUACAGACUGCGGUUCCUCCAGUGUCCACUAGAGGCUGUGUUCAAAAGAGAGCCACUCCCUACAGAACCCCAUGGUAAAAAGUCCAACUUUCACAGCUGAAAUAAGCAAACAGCUAAACUUAUAGGGGACUCAUAAGUAUACAUUAUAUUAAAGAUUAGACAUGAAUAUAAAGGGGGCGGGGCCUCUUUGAGUGACGGGUGAGUGCUGCUAGCUGUCUGUUGAAUGUUGCCUUAGUUAAUUCAGUCACUAAACUUAACCUCUGAACGCUUUUUAAAACCAUUUAAACUGAAUCCACACUAAACAUUAGAAUUUUAGCAUCACCUUAGCUCGCACAAUAACAUUAGCAAACAUUUUUAAAAUGAAAUUUACCUUUUUGAAUUCGACUCCCAUAAAAUAUUGUCAAAUAUUAAGGGAUGGCACGAUAAUGGAGUGGUGCACAGGCUGCAGUUCCUCCAGUGUUCCUACAUUUCUUAAUUCCUGUCAGUUUUAUAACCAGCCAAAAACUGGAGCAAAGCCUUGGUGCUAGUUCAGGCAGUCACCCUGUCACAUGGACAUUUAUCGUUCUCUGUGUUGGAGUUUUAUCUAUAUGACUUGUUUUCCCACAUUUCCAAGUUUAAAAAUGAAACUUUAUUUGUGUUACAGAUAUUUAUUUCCUUCUUUGUUAUUUUAGGAAAUGUCGGAUGUGACAGAGCAGAAAACAUCAGCGAAGAAAGUUUUUUUUUAACCGAAAACUGAAGUGGAAGUCAAACUCCGACUGUAAGCGUCUCCUCUGAAGACAGAUGCAGCCACAGCCUGUGAUUUCACACUUCAUUGAAUAUAAAGUUCAUUAUUAAAGUUUAAUGAAGACUUUUUUGUUUGCUCUUACUAGAUAAACACUCCAAGCAUUCACUGGAGAUGAUUCCUCUACUCUCUAAUUUAUUUCCCUGCUUUUAGAGGAGGAAUUCAGGGAUGUAACAACGAUUAUUUUAAUUAGUAAAGGCUUAUUUCUGGAUUACGACUUUUGCUGACUCAGGCCCUGGAGAGGCAGACAUCCAGGUUGAAGAAGGAUGAAGACGAAGGAUGCCAUCUUUUCUUAAACCUGCUCACACCACCGGCCAUUCAGAGGAGCACAUGUGUAAAUAAAACAUGGAUCUAAUACGUAAGGAUGGGUUUGUUGAGCUGAACCUGGACUGUGUGAACAUUUAAGCAAAGAAAAUGAUGGUUAAUAGCAGAAAAUGCUCUUUUUUUUAUUUAUUGGAGCAACAGACCAUUCAAACAUUAAAAACAUUAUUAUACUGUUGGAGCUAAAUGAGCAUUUACUCAUUGUUUUAAAGCAUUUAAUUUCAUUAUGGUGAUGAUGACCGACAGUUAAAGGUAAAAGAGACAUGUCUGUAUCUGAAAUCCUCUCAGUGAAUACUAUAAUAACUUUAGACGCCUCUGUUUCUUCAAGGAUUGGUUUCAGUCACCGGUGUUUGUCACUUCUCUUCCACCAGUGAUUGUAACAAAUCAGUAGUGAGGGUUAUGAGUCGUUCCUGUCACACUCUCAGACUUGCUCAGUGAGGUCAAACCGAGUAUUAAACUGCCUGUCCUGCAUGUUUCAUUAUUUAUUUUGAUGUUCCAGAUAACCGACUCUAAGUUUUCAUUUAUUCAUACAAGUGAUGCAUUAGAAUAAGUGAUUUUGGCUCCAUCCAUUCACAAGAUUUAGAGACGGCAUUAAAGAUAAAUGGCUUACAUAAGUGACUCUGUCACACUUGAAGACUUACCCUGCUCUGCCUCUCCUAUCUGGACUGCUGCCUCUUUAUAUCUUAUCAUCCUCACACUUACUUUAGUUUCGCAUGCAGGUUUAUUCCAGCUUGUUUUCUUUUCAUUACAAUAUAAGAGUCCAGAUUAAUUCACUGUUUAAACAAGUGCCUCACUCUGAAACAGACAUUAGAUUUAACGCUGUCAGCCAUCGAACCCAAAUAUGUAAAGAUCUGAGGACAUUAUUUCCACUUAAAGGUGGGGUAGUCAGGAUCUGAGGAGGUUCCACUUUCUAGGAGAAAUCUUGAAUGUAAACUCUACCCCUCCCAACCAGUUUUCCCCUCAGCUCUUCCUCUCCCCUCCCUCGCUGCUCCAGCAAGCCUCGCCCACAAACAGACGCUCCUGCUCGCUCGUAUCGUUCCAAUUAAAUUCAGAUAUAAUGCAGAUAAAUACUUCAGAUAUUUACAAAUGGAGCCCAGUCAAGGUGAAAGUAAAAAGCAUGGGUGCUACUGUAGAUGCCAACAGACGACCAGCAAACACAAUAAAGUGACGAAGUCUAGGACCCGAGGUCAAAAGUUUAGCGGCGCUACAACACGCUACAGCAGGUCCCGUUUGACAAGAAACACUUCUGUUACAAACACUUGGCUUACUUUGUUAAAGCGGUUUACCUGUCCAGCAGAUAGGUUACAGGGUCACCAAGAUCCAGAAGCGUCCCCCAUCAUUUAUGUUGACCCGGCUUUUUAGCUCUUGUCCAGUCUACCACCUUUUUAAGCGCCCGUUAUUCCGCCAGAGUCUCCGAUAUUUACUUCCUUUUCUUGCUUUUGUUGGCAGUCGUGGCUAAAGGAGGAUUCAGACAAUUUUCCGUACUUUCUGGUUGGUUUCUACUGUCUGAUAUUGUAGCACGCUAACUUUGUUUGGGCUCAUGAAUGUUAUUCGAGGACAUGGAGCGUGCCUCACAACGCGAAGGAGCAGCAUCUGUCUCACAACCAAUCAGGUUGGGGAGGUGGAGAACGGCCUUUUUUACAGCCAGAAAGAGCGGACCACUCAAAAAUGUUAAAAUGUUGACUACACAGACAGAACACAGAGAUAUAAUUCAAUUACCAAAUGUCAUCAAUAACUAAUAACUAAUGACUGAUAUUAAAAGAUUUUUUGUAAAUACACCACAAAAAAAGAUGCUUCUUUAACAGAUUCCUGACUACCCCACCGUUAAGGUCAUUAUUUUAGAAGAACAUGGAUGUUUUAUUUUGAUGGAUCACUGAAACAUGUUAAAGGCAGUUUUUUAAUGUUGUCCCAGAUUUGUCACUGCAGCUCCCAAAGACUGCGACUGACUUAUUUGUGAGAGUGUAAACUUUAAACUUGACUCUGGGUCUGGAUUUUGGUCUGAAGAGUGUUUCUGCUCCCUGUUUGAAUUCCGCUAUAGUCUGAGUAACAGCAGACCUUUGUUUCUACGAGUAAAACAGUCUGUAAAAAAAAUCUGUCAAAACACUUUUGAUCUGCCCCACUGAGAAUUUUUCAGUCUAAAAGACGUUUGAUAGACAUCUAAUGGUCCUGAGACAUCUGGGCUAAAAUUGGUCUACCAAAAAUGAACGUUUUUUAGUGGUUUGAGCUAAUACUAGCCAUCUUAGAGACUAAACUACACUUACAGUUGUUUUUUUAUUUAAUAAUUAAUUGAUUAAAUUCUAUCAUCUAGAUUCGGGCUAAAAUCCCAUUUUAGGUUGAGUCUUGAUAAUCUAUCAAACAAUGAGUGUGGUCUAGACCUGCUCUUGUUCUUUGAAAAGCAUCUUGGGAUGACGACUGUUGUGAAUUGGCGCUAUAUAAAUUUAAUUUGAAUUAAAUUUGAUUGAUUGAAUUUGAUUGAUUGAUCAAAUUUAGACCGAUUGAUCCAAUUUAGACGAUUAUAGAUGGACAUCUAGGGCUCAGUGAGGUAAUAGAGUUGCAUCUGAAGUUUGAGUGUGAAUUAUGAAGUCAUUCAUCACUAACUGCUUGAAAUCUGUAAAUAUUUAAUAUACAGUACAGGCCAAAAGUUUGGACACACUUUCUCAUUCAAUGUCUUUUCUUUUUUUUUUAUAUGACAUAUAUUAUAAUAUUAUAUUUUAUAUUUACAUUGUAGAUUGUCACUGAAGGCAUUAAAACUAUGAAUGAACACAUGUAGAAUUUUUUACUUAUAAAAAAAGUGUGAAAUAACCGAAAACAUUCUUAAUAUUCUAGUUUCUUUAAAAUAGCCACUCUUUGCUCUUGAUGACAGAAGUACCUUGUCAGGCUUACUUCAGGCACUCCUGUGAAGUAAAAACCAUUUCAGGUGACUACCUCAUGAAGCUCAUUGAGAGAACAGCGAAAGUUUGCAGCGCUAUCAAAAAAGCAAAGAGUGGCUACUUUGAGAAAUCUAAAAUAUAAAACAUGUUUUCAGUUAUUUCACACUUUUUUCUUAAGCACAUGAUUUCUCAUGUGUUCAUUCAUAGUUUUGAGAAUCUACAAUUUAAAUAGUAAUGAAAACAAAGAAAAUGCAUUGAAUGAGAAGGUGUGUCCAAACUUUUGGCCUGUACUGUAUGUUAUCAAAAUAUAGUUCAUGCAGAUGUCUACAAACAAUCGCUGCCAUAUUAUUACCUUAAAAUUACACAUUUGAACAAAAACUGUUCAUGCAGCACAUGCAGAAAAAUAAGAUUUUCGCUCGUCUCCUGCUUCAUUUCUACUCUUUAGCAAGUCAUGCACUCAAACUUUGACCCAGUUUGGAGCUCAUAUUUCUUUUUACUCCAGCUAAACAAGUGAGCCUGCAAACAUUAGUCAACCUGCAUUAUGGGAAACAUAGGCAUUUCAUCAGAAAAAUGACUGAACUCAGUGCUGACGCUCCCUUUGAAUGUUGCAGGAGAAAUGCACCGCUGCACCGCAGUGAUGCUGUCUCAGCUGCCAUCGUCAUGUCAGAGGGGGAACAUGCACAGACAUGUCAGUAUGUACGUAACAUGUAAUAUGCAACAUAUGCACAUAUGUGACAUAUACAGCCUGAGGAGAGAGUUAGAAAACAUGUGCACAUCAUAAAUGUAAUAUCAGACCAGCAGAGUGUUUUAGUGCACAUAAUACAGAUGCAAAUGUUCAUUAACACUCUGUGUAACUACGCCGAAUCUGAAUCUGUCACACUGCGUUAAAACUGCACUUAUUUACACACAAAGCAGGAUUUAUUUUCCUGCAGGUCAGAUUCAUUCUGUCGCUCCUGCUGCUGCAUAAACCGAAAUAUUGUGCCGUGUGAGGGCAGGACAAUAAAAAAUCAAAUGGAAGUGGUAAAAGCAUUUUUCUGGUUAGAAGCACUCAAAGGGAAGAAACAUCCAACAUGAAUUGUUGCCUCUGACCUGUGAUUGCUGCCUUUUUUAUUUUUUUUGUUCCAGAAAGGGUACAAAGUGCAGCCGGAAAAUGAUGGAGAGUCGUGUGGAGGAGAGAGAGAGAGAGAGAGAAGGGAAAAGUUGAGCUGAGUUUUGCAGGAAGUGCGGUGAAUGUGUGUUUGAAAUCCAAUAUCACGGCUUCUGCAGAGCACAUUUGUUCAUCCCUGCUUCAGUAAACGCUGUCAGCCUGUGUGAGGAGGCAAAUCAGCCAUUUCAGACGCUAACAUCUCUCAGUUUCAGCCUCAACGCUCCAUCAACAUUUACUCCAAGUUCACAGAGGUGCUGGAGCGUACAGGCAGGUAUAUGUAGUGUAUCUACCUCUGUGCAGGACAGGGUGACUGUAUUUUUACCUGAAGACUGUCACAGACAUAAAUCGAAGGAGAUGCUGGAGCAGAAAAGUUAUAGGUGACUGUUAAACGUUCAUUUUUCUGCCUUUUAGUCUGAUCCGGAUUAUAAACGAGUCUGUAAAACUCUCCAGAUUCAUCUCUGGCAGUCAAACUUUGGUGCAGGUGAAAUUUUUCCACUGACCAAAAGCAGGUGAAGUGAACAGAGAUUCAUUUUCGUUUUUUCCAAACUUCUGCAUCUCAUUUUAAAUGAGUCUGCUCAAUUUGGUGAACUGUUACAGUCGUACGGUUUCUCUACUUGAAAAAUUGGUGCAAUUAGAUUCUGGUUGUCAUCUCACCUCCGCAGUCAGCAGAAACCACCAUCACCUGGGCCCCACCAAAAUGGCAGCUCAGUCGCUCGGAGAGAAAAAUAUUUGGCGCUGAUAAAUCUGACAUAUAAACUGAUUUGUUACACUUAUUUUGGGAAAAGUGCAUCAUAUUUUAUCUGGAGAGUAUCUCUCUUUUUCCCCCGGCUGGUCUGACUCAGCUUUGGGUGAUUUAUGGAGCUCUCACUGUGACAGAUAGCUUAUUUUGUUUCUAACUACUGCAAAAGUUUGUAUCUGAAGUGAGUUUUAAAGCUGUGUCAAAAUCCACGGAGCGGAAAAACAGGAUCUGCAGGAAAAAAACUGAACUUAUAGAUAAAGUGUAAAAAUAUAAAAGCUAUUAAACCAAAUGGAGAACUCUGGUGGUCAGUACAUUUAUUUAGAAAUAAGACAAGAUAACCCUUUAAUAUUCUCACGGCAUUGUUACAGCAGUAAAGGUAAAAAUAAGGGCUGGGACUUUAACGGGUUAAUUGCGAUUAAUUCAUUGUCGUUUUCUUCUGCUUAUCUGGGUCCGGGUCGUGGGGGCAGCAGCUUCAGGAGGGAAGCACAGACGAGCCCUCACCGUAGCCACUUCCACCAGCUCCUCUGGGGGGAUUCCCAGGCCAGGCGAGAGAUAUAAUCCCUCCACCUGGUCCUGGGCCGGCCACAAGGUCUCCUCCCGGUGGGACAUGUCUGGAACACCUCUAAAGGGAGGCGUCUAGAAGGCAUCCUAACCAGAUACCCGAGCCACCUCAGCUGACUCCUGUCGAUGUGGAGGAGCAGCGGUUCUACUCUGAGCGCCUCCCAAGUGUCUGACCCUAUCGCUAAGGCUGAGCCUGGCCACACUGCGAAGGAAACCCAUUUCAGCCGCUUGUAUCCGUGAUCUUGUUCUUUCGGUCAUUACCCAAAGUUCAUGACCAUAGGUGAGGAUCGCCACGUUGAUCGACCGGUAAAUCGAGAGUCUGGCCUUACGACUCAGCUCUUUGUUCACCACGACUGAUCGGUAAAGCGUCUGCAUCACUGCUGACGCAACUCCGAUCCGCCUACCCUCACUCAUGAACAAGAUCCCGAGAUACUUGAACUCCUCCACUUGAGGUGAUUAAUUAAUUACAGUAAUAUUAUCUCAUUAAAAAUAUUAACUCAUAUCAAUUGCACCUACUGUAUAUUUGUACCGCAGAACGUUUCUGGACGAGUUCAGGUAUCCUGCUUAUACCAGUGCACCCCAAUGUGAGUGAGUGCAGCAGUGACUCCAGCUCACGCAAAAAUGAACGAUCAAAUACCGGAGACUCUGGCGGAAUAACGGGUGCUUGAAAAGGAGGUAGACCGGACAAGAGCUAAAAAGCCGGAUCAACAUAAAUGAUGGGGAAUGCUUGGGGAUCUUGGUGACCCUGUAACCUUUCUGCUGGACAGGUAAACCACUUUAACAAAGUAACCCAAGUGUCUGUAACAGAAGUGUUUCUUGUCAAACGGGACCUUCUGUAGUGUGUUGUAGCGCCACUAAACUGUUGACCUCUGGUCCUGGACUAUGUCACUUUAUCCUAGUUGUAGAAGUCCUGCAAACAUUGUGUUUGCUGGUAGUGUGUUGGCAUCUCCAGUAGCACCAAUGCUUUUUACUUUCACAUUGACUGGGCCCCAUUUGUAAUUAUCUGAAGUAUUUAUCUGCAAUUUUACUGGAAUGAUAGGAGCGAGCAGGAGCGACUGUUUGUGGGCAGGGAUCCUGACUACUACACAGUGAAAAGAAAAUAAUCAAGAUUUUAUUUGUUUAAGCUCAUGUAUUCAUUCAGUUUACUAGUCACUGAUUCACUUGUAGACCACUUUAAGAAAUUAUUCUCACUAUUCUCAGGUCAAAUAUUGAUAUGCGAUUAAAAUGCGAUUAAUUAGAUACAUUUUUUAAUUGAGUCCCAGCCAUAAUAAUAAUACACUGAAUAUUUCAUUUUUGGUUUUACUCCAUUAAUCAUCAGAAUAAGUGUUAAAUCACUAAACUUGCCCUAAACAGACUGUUGCCAUCGGUCCUGGUUUUUCUCUCCUUUCAUAUUCAUGAUGACUUUGUCAGUUUGGUGUGAUGCGAUGUCCCCUGAAGAUCUGCUGUGUCUGCAGGUGUCUAUACGGCGGCAGUGGCGGCGUUGUGGCUCCUGUGGUGAUAUUUGUCAGCUUUGAAUGGAGACGAUCAGGACAAACAGUGAGAGACAGGCGGCACAAAGGCUUCCCACGGUGCGGCAGGAUUAAUAGCACCCACGUAAGGUUCCAGAGGGGAGCAGCUCACAAUGUGGGAGUCCUCAGAGGCGGGUGAGCGCGCUGCUCUUAAUGGUGGGGUAUUGAAAAUCGUAGCCGUCUUCCUGCUGAGUGAAUCAUUUGUCUGAAGGUGUCAGAAAGAUGCAGAUGAAUAAAAGAGGACAUUUUUCUGUCUUCUCAGGCGACUAUGAGAGAAGGCGCAGUAAAGAUGGACGACAUUAGACAUCAUUCAUGCAUCAACUAAGUCAAAUGUGCGUCUGACAGAAGGUCUGUUCAAAGACUCUCAGAGGAACGUCUGCUUCCUCACAACAAGCGUGAGCAGGUUUCAUAAGUCUGUUUUUUUUUUUUGCAUAAAUUCACAUGUUCUGACUAACUACCCUGAGCGUGAGGAGAGCUCCUCCAUUUCGACUCUAAUGGUCCAUCGUGUGCUCAUUUCCAUUUCAGAUCCACACAACCUGAUGACAAAACUCUCCUCCUGAACUUGACGUCUAACUUUCCCGUAUCGUUAAAGUUGUGAAGUGGACGACCCGCGCACCCUUCGCCCACAGCCCCUCCUUACAGCUUCAGAUCCCCUGAACCCUCCCCUCAGUGUGGGUUCGACUAAACAAUGUACCAGCAGAUGCUUUUAUGAAAACAGCAGUCUGAAAAAAAACAACAAAGAGGAAAAAUUAACAGUUUCAACAAUAACAUCCAUACAGCAGAUCUCCCAAAGCCAAAUCCAUCUGCCAAAAAAAGACCUUUUCACCCAGCAAUGCUGCAAAUGUGUCUUUUCAUCUAGAUCUCCAAAUCCAUUGGCUGUGCUGGAACUAAAAUAAGACCCCUGCUAUGGCUGCCAAUGUUUCAGAGCUGAUUCCAGGCCUGCUCCUUUUUCUCCUUUUCACACAGACUGUUCUGCUGCAUACGACUAACACCAACACCGGGCCAAAACUGAAAAAUAAUGAUAAAAAAAACUGAGUAUGUUUCAGUAUCAGACUGAUUUCUGCCUGAAAACAAUCUCAGAUCAGGAACCAUCUGGGGAUCUCCUGAGAUUACCGUGAAGUUUGAGGACUUUGGUUUGUAAUAAACGACUUUGAAGACUCCACCCAAACACAACUCACCUACUCUCUUCCAGCACCUGCUAGUUUGUAGCAAGACCUCUGGGCCAGUCCAUUACGGACUACAGUGGUGUGACACAACUCAAGGAAGAACAUUUAUGAUCAUUUCUUCAUGGAAAUGCAAUCAGAUCGAGAUGCUAAGGCAGAAGAACUACCGCGUCUGCAGUGCAAAAUGAUUAAUAUGAUGAUUAUUACUUCAAGGAAAUGAUAAAGAAAUGAUCAAAAAUGUUCUUCCUUGAGCUGCGUUACCCCGCUGUAGUCCGUUAUGGACUGGCCUGAGGUCACACUACAAACAAGCGGCUGCUGGAAGAGAGUAGGUGACUUGUGUUUAGUCUCUUUGCUAAAGAAAUUAGUCAAAGUUAAAAAGAUGUUCGGUGGCUAGUACUAUGGCUGGGACCCUAUAUGUCCUGUUGAUGAAGUUAGGUGCUGUUCUGAGCAUUAUUUGUGGCUACAGAGUGGCGUUUUGGUUGAGGUUUGUUUAUGGCUUCUCAGACCGCUGUGUAUUGCUAUCCUGCGGUCGUUACUAAAGUUGGUAUAACUAGAGAAGCAAGCGGUCGGCAACAUUCAUUUCUGGAGGGGGUGUCUAACUCAGUGUUAUGGUGUGUUUGACCCUAAAUUAUUUUUACACUGGAAUAUCCCUUUAAUGAACAGAUAGACUGUCAGCUGACCUUUAAAACAGAUAUCUGUUCACACAGAAAAGUAAACUGUCAUCGGUUUACUCUUGCUGGACGUCGGGAUGUCAAUGCCGUGGAUUGUGUUCUUCACAGAGAAACCAAAGCCCGACCACUCUUUGUAUUUAAUUCAUUUUUCAUUCUUUUUUUUUUCACGUUUAAUAUUUACAUGUCGAUUAACCCUUUAGGCUCAGAGUCUAUUCCUCUUCCUGGUGUUUAUUAGACUUACCUGGAUAGUCUGUUAUUGUAAAGACUGAGUAUCUUCAGACGAUGGCGGGCUUUCUGUUUGUGGUUAUUUUGUACCAACUAGAUUUAUGCUAACUGCCCUGACAGUGUUGUAAUGUUCAGUCCAUAACACCCGAAAAGGCGUCGAAUACAAUCCUUUACAUUCAUUAGAAAAUAACUGUUUGGCCUUCAUCCCUCGGAGGGUCUUUUUCCUCCACAUGACUUUUCGUCUUCAUCGUCAAUGAGCCGUUUGUUUCUUCUUCACGCCUAAAUGCCCCUUUUGUCUUUGCUCUUAACAUCACUAUGUCUCAUUAUCAAUAACAAUGUUUUCAGGACAAUUGUUUUCCAUUAAUCCCUCGGCUCUGUGCAUUUCACUGCACACGAGCUGUUGUAGCAUCCCAUUAAAUCCACACUGAACCACCCACCUUUCAUCCUUUCAUUUCAGCUCCAGUUUUUUUUUUCCAGUCAUUUUUCACAGCUGACUCCCCCAUCUUUCACCUCUCUUUUCCCUCUCCCGCCUCGUCCUCCACGGGUUCACCUCCUCCUCUCCGUCUAAUGGAAGCUAAUGUUUGUGAUUUAUGGUUAUUUUUCCAGCAGCCGCUUUGCAGAGAAGCAGAGAAACAUUGGGCCAUAUAAAAAGUGUAAAUCCUGGAACAAUUUAACCCCUGAAAGUCUCAGACUGAACGGAGCAACCUUUCUCUGUGUUUCAUCUUUAUCUACAGUUCAGAGAUUAAUCUUGUUUGUUGUGUUGGGAGCUGGCAUUUUCUCACUUUUAUGAUAGAUCUCAGUGUGGUUAAUUAGUCUGGCGACCACUUUCAUUUCCAGCCUGAAGUCGGCUAACCUUAAUGUGCUCUGUACAGUAAUCUGAAAUUAAUGGCCAUUAUCAUUUCAGGCGUUUCAGGCUUUUAGUUAGCCACUGUGUGUCUCUCUCGGCUGGAGGUUUUUCCAUGUGUCUGUGCGUGUGUGUGUGUGUGUGUGUGUGUGUGUGUGUGUGUGUGUGUGUGUGUGUGUGUGUGUGUGUGUGUGUGUGUGUGUGAAUCAGAAAUGUGUCUAUUCCUGCAGAUGCUCCUGUGAUUCUGUGCUGAUCGAUUAUCAGGUCACAUGACCUUAAAUCACAAACUGAUGGCGUCUGUUUAUCUCCCUGUUGUUCCUGGUGGAGCUUCUCGAUGUUCCCUAAAUGUUAAUCCUGGAGCUGAGGGAGUGUUUCUGUGCCGCUUCCUCUGUCCUCAAAGGUGAUUCCAGGAUUUUAUGACCCUCAUUUUACGUCAUGUGGAAUCUAAAUGACCACAAUAAGAAGUUGCAGGACGUGUCCGAUGAAAGACACGAGGCUAAUCCUGAGUCUUGCGCACUAAUCUCACUCAGUAAAUCACAAAAAAACUAGGUUUCUUUUCAGGAGUUAACAGCUGAAUUCAGCUGACAGGAGCCUGUGUGUAGCUUGCUAAUUACAGUAAAACUGACCCCGAAUUUCCACCACAUCCUGAACGACAGUGAUUUUUGCCAUCUGCCAGUUCCUAUCAGAUACAUUUGUGAGGCAAAUUUCUUGGUGGAUUACGGACAGCAGGAAUCACGGGAACUCACAAGAACCCAUAAAGACAGCAACAUAGAUGUAUAAGCAGUAGAUUGUGUCCUUCCAGAGGAGGAAAUCUACCUUUAGACUUCUAGAAUCAGCAUCUCCUCAUCCAUGGUGUCAUCGGGGUGAAAUGACGUGUAAAAACCUUUAACUUGUUCGUCUCCAACCGUUUGCAUGCUGUGAAAUACGAUCCGCCUGAAACACAGUGUUUUAUUUUGAAAAGAAGCCAGAUGUUUUAUUUUGUGUCUGUGCCCGACUUCCUUUCCAGCAUGGGUUAAUCUGUGCUGAAUUUAUCCGGCAUGCUCCGGCAUCCGGAAAAAAUAGAAAUCUUGUGAUCAGCUAUGGAGUCCGGCAAUCCGCAGCGGAACAUAAAGAAGCCGGUGGAAAUUGACAUGUUAACUUGAAUGGUUACGAUCAGCUACGAUCGGCAGAUACAACCUUUUUGUAGCCAUUCCGGAUGCAGUGGAAACUGGGGGUUAGACUCAACAGAAACACCAGUCAUGAUCCUAUUAAAACAAAAUUAAGACCUGUUCAUUAUCAAAGAAAACUGGUUUCUCUUGAGGAGUUCAUACUGAUGAAAUAAUCUUGACUUACAGUGAAGCUGAGACUAAACAGUUAACAACAAGUAGAUAUAAAGCAAACAGAUUUUUUAUCCAGGAUGAUGACACUGAAUAAGCUCGAAAUCAGAAUUACAGCUAAACUGAGACUCUCUGAAAAUCACAAGAACAAUGUAUUUACUUAAGUUGAAAAAAGCCAGAGAGAGCAGCCUGACUGUAAUGAAACACUCACAGUGAAGCUGAGACUCACCAGAAAUCUAAAUAAGUAUGUCAUAGGUGCAAACUCAACACCAAGCUGUUACAGGUUAUUAAGAAGUAAACUGGUUUCUUAUCCAGGAUAAUGAUGCUUUAGUAAUUCAGAGUGAAGAUCCUUUUAGUUUACAGUGAAAGUGAGACUCACCAGAAGUCUGAAUCAUAAUAUAAUAUAAACCAACUUAAAACCGAAUAACCCCAAGUCAAUCACAAGAACUUUGUUUUUCAUCCAGGAUGAUGCCACUGAGAGACAGAGUAAAGUUUACAGUGAAACUGAGACUCACUUAAACUCUGGAUGAUGAUGUUGAGAUUUCAACUUGACUCUUGUUAAUCACACAAAAUCACAAGAACAUAGUUUUUUUUCCUUGAGUUCAUACUACUAAAGUACACCUAAAGGGAAGUCUGAGUGUUAUUUACUGUUUACAGUGAAACUGAGACUCACCAGAAGUCUGAGUUAUAAUACAUCAACAAACUUAAAACAAAGUAUUUCCAAGUUAAUCACAAGAACAUUAGUUCUUUAUCCAGGUUGAUGCUGCUGAAGUAGCUCAGAGUCAGAGUGUGGCCUUUGUGAAGUUUACAGUGAAACUGAGACUAACUAGAAAUCUGGAUUAUGAUCCUGAUAUUUCAGCAAAUUUAACUACUGUUAAUCACACAAAAUCACAAGAACAGUGUUUUUUUUCUUGAGUUCAUACUACUAAAAUACACCUAAAGUGAAGUCUGAGUGUUAUUUACUGUUUACUGUAAAACUGAGACUCCACAGGGGAUGUGAUAGAUAAUAAAGUGGUAAUAAAGUGGUAGUGUUUAUAUUUUACAGGCAUAGCUGGAGGACUGAAUAAUAAUUGGAUAGUUAAUGACUGAAAAGGAGGUCUUUAAAGUUUGUAUUGCUUGAAAGUGUUGUGUGGUUACUGAGUUUUUUAAGUUUUUCUCAGAUAGAAAUCAGUUUUCAGAGUUUCUCUGUGUGAAUUCUGGUCUUCACAGCUGAGAAAGUGGAACAGUGAUGCUUGGCAGAGGUGGUGUGAAGGGUUUUCUCUUGUCAAGACUGUAGUUUCAUGUCCUGGACACCCACAUCAUAAGAUCGAGGGAUGUGCAAACACCUCCUUGAAGACACGGUACAAACUUUUUGUGAUUUACUCCUCCAUGUUAGGACUGCAGAGGCUUUUUAUGCAUUGUGUUCAUGCACAAGCUUUGUACUGAACGUGUGCAUACAUAGCCCGAUCCAGAGAGCACCACUUUAAGUGCUGAGGAUGUUGCACCAUGUUCCAGUCCUGCGUACCUGGUCUUAAAGUCUUCAAUCGUAGCUCGUUUGUCUUGUUGGAUGUGCAAAGAUAACACAUGAAUGUGUAAACCAUGUUUUAUGACUGCUUCUAUGUCUUCUAUUUCUGUCUAAACUGGAGGUAGACAGGAUGAUGCAAAGCGCCAAGUAUGGCUGAAAAAGAGGGAAAGAGUCAGAGUCCAGAGUGGAUAUAAAUGAGCUGCUGAAGAUGAGAUCAUUUUUAUUUAAAAAGAACAAGGUUAAACUGCUGCUCUUUUCUGUGAUCAAAACUUUUUCAGGAAAAAAUCAGUGGACCUGCUCUGACGCCUCAUGGGAUGGGAAGCGUUAACAAGGUUUUGUUCAUCAAACCUGUUUGUUAAAUGACAUUUCAGAAAGCUCCAAAGAGCCAAUUUGAGCAUGAAAAAGUUCAAAAAUUAAAGCACAUUAAUCAAGGAGUCACUCUUUCUGAUGGUGAAGUGUAGGAGCACCUGUAAUACGAGCCCCCCCGGGGAUUACAUGAUGAAUUACAUGUCUGAUCUGAGCGAGGAUAACCAAUUACACGCAGAUUUAACCCACACCUGCACCAGUGUGCAUGCAUUCAAUGCAUCUUUACUGUGUCAUUAAACCUAGAUCUCACAGUUAAAGAAGUCAACGCUAUCUCAUCUGUAAUCUCUUUAUGCUUUAGAAUAAACUUUGCAUGAAUUUACAUUUUAAUUUUUACGCCAGAAAUAAAACUUAAAGAGAGACGCAACUGGAUCAUGGACUACAAGGACACGAACCCAGGACUGCAGGGACACUGUUGACUAAUAGUCAUGUCAUUCCUGAUCUUUAUGCAAAAGAAGGCCUCUUCAGUCUUCAUUAAAGGGAUAUUUCGGUAUUUUUGGAGUACGGUCACAAGUUCGUGUUCGAGCCAGAGUCGUACUGUGUGUUUGCAACUGAAAAAAAGAACGAUGGUCUGUCUGGUGGAAAAUUUCUCAGGAGAGUAAAAGUUUGUUAUGGAAGCGUAUUGCAUUCAACAAAAACAUAAAAAUAAAUAAAAGCUCUGUUUUUCAGACUUUUUUUUCAGACUAAUUUUCUGUUUUUCAGACUGUUUUUUGUGUGUUUUUCAGGGGGGGGUUUUGUUUUGUUUUUCAGACUAAUUUUUUUUCUGUUUUUCAGCCUUUUUGUUUUGUUUUUCAGACUAAUUUUUCGAAAGGAACAAAAAAAAACUGAAGAAAAAAAGUUACAAAAACAGAAAGAAGAAAAAAAUUAAUCUAAAAAGAGUAAAAAAAAUAAUCUCAGCAGAGUAAAAAAAAUACUCAAAAAAGUUUCCUUUUUUUUUUUCUUUAGGAAGUGAAUGCAGUACUGUUCCGCAGUUUGUGUCAGGAAAUCUGAAAAUUUACUGAAUCAGAGUCUACAGAAAACUGUAGCCUAGUCCAAAUGCUGGACCUCGUGGCGGUUUCUCAUUAAAGGGGUGGAGCUGAGCUGAGCGACUUCUAUCGUAGCUUAAACACUAAAGACACUCGGGGACAACCUCACUUCAAAAAUACUGAAAUACUCAAACGCAGCAUUCACUUUACUUUAGAUUUCCCACAUAUAAAAACAAAAAUAUGAGAAUAAAGUCACCAGAAAACAAUUUACAAAGCUACAAACUGAAACAUCAAAUUAAACUUCAGAGAGCUCUUCAGUCUCCUUCAUCCAGGGGGAGCUCAAGUUUAGAGUCCAGUUUAAUUAAAACCUUUAUCGUUUAUUUUGUGUUUUUGUUUAUCAGUCUGCUGUGUAAAUGAUUCAGAUGUCAAGGUGAUGGCUCAGCCUGUCGUGACUCUGUCGUGUCCCUCACUCUGUGAACCUCUGCUCUGGUGUUUGUGCAGAGAUUCAGAGGACUUAAAGCAUGUUAAAAAUGUCAAAUAUACUCAUCCUGUGAAAGAGGAAAGUAUUGUAUCCCUGCAUUGCCCUGGAAACUGUGACUACCAUCACAAACAUGACUAAGAUGCUGCUGAACCAAGUAAACACAACAUGAAGUUGUUUGAGAGGAAGGCAUUGUGGACUUUUUAAAAAAAAGGUUGUAAAAUGAUGAUUAUCUUCUCUUUUAAAGGACAAAGUCUGGAAAUAGUGCGAAAUUCUGUGCCAGAAAUAAAUCUGUCAUUUUUAACACGAGCGAUAGAGAGAGCGCUCUUUCAUUGUGUGUGAAGAUUUAAGACAAACGCAAACGCAGCAUGAAAAGCGGCGAGCACAGCCUUCGGUCAGCCAGCUUUCAGCCUAAGAGAGCUUUGCUGUUUCACAAACUGCCAAAGUGGCUUUAAGGCAGCGUGUUGGUGCAGCUCUGUAAACGCUGAUAGCAGUCGUCAGAGGAGAGCGUUUCCUUCAGGCGUUUAGCUGAGGGCAGGUUGUCACACAGCAUGACCCUGAGGAGGAGGAGGAGGAGGAGAAGGGUAUGAUGGAGGCCGGUGAGGAAAACAUCAUCUGGUGAGGAAAAGUGUCUUCAGAUGUGAUCAGCUCCUGCUCUGAGAGGAUAAUGAAAUCCUCUGUGCAAAGAGAGAAGAAAGAGGACAGAGUGAAGGGGAGGUGGAAAAUUGUUUUCUCAGGUCAGAGGAUUGGAUUUGAAAAGAGUCAAAGAUUGAUGUCACACGUGAAACCGAUGAGGAGAGGAUGAAGAGGUAGAGAAGAGAAACCCAAAGCCUGUCAGCGGCGGGGACAUAAUAACAGAGAAGAUCUCUCUCUUUUCUGUCUGUGCUUCUCUGCAGGGAUGAGAUUGUCAGCAGAACAAACAGGUACACUGAGUGAGUGCAGAUGGUCCACCUCAACCACCACAUGUCCUCCGUCCUCCCACCACACCGACACAACGCCAAACCAUCCCACAGGACAGGUGCUGCCAUCUUGUGUGUUUGAAGACGGUCUCUAAUAAGGGCAGCUGGUGAGCGGGGAUCACUCUGUCAAUGAAAAUGUUGGCGUGAAAGAUCAGCUCAUUCUCCUUCAUGAGCGAAUCUGUGUGCUGGUUCAAGCUCUGACUGCCUCUGUUCUUCUUCAGUCUUUGUGAAGCGUCAGGUUUGGCGAUUUGGAGGCCGCCCUCUUGGUUUGUUGGCGUGUUUGAGGAGAUGGAGAAGCUGCAGAGGGAAGAAGGAUUAGCAAAUGUUGGACAGACAGUGUGAUAACAUGGAGUUGAUUUUCUACGUUCAUCUGACAAGUGACAGAGAAUUAGUUUCUCAGAUAAUAAAAAAUCGGAGGACUGUGUUUGCCUCGAUCGCCUGAUGGGACGUUCGCAGGGAUGUAAUAUUUGAGACGAAGCUAUCUAAUGUAUGUAAAAAACCUGUUAAAGGUGGGGUAGUCAGGAUCAGAGGAAGUUCCAGUUUUUAGGAGAAAUCUUGAAUGUAAACUCUACCCCUCCCAACCAGUUUCCCCCUCAGCUCCUCCUCUCCCCUCCCUCGCUGCUCCAGCAAGCCCCGCCCACAAACAGACACUCCUGCUUGCUCAUAUCGUUCCAAUUAAAUUCAGAUAUAAUGCAGAUAAAUACUUCAGAUAAUUACAAAUGGGGCCCAGUCAAGGUGAAAGUAAAAAGCAUUGGUGUUUCUCUAGAUGCAAACAGACUACCAGCAAACACAAUGUUUGUAGGACUUCUACAACUAGGAUAAAGUGACAUAGACCAGGACCAGAGGUCAACAGUUUAGCGUCGCUACAACACGCUACAGCAGGUCCCGUUUGACAAGAAACACUUCUGUUACAGACACUUGGCUUACUUUGUUAAAGCAGUUUACCUGUCCAGCAGAAAGGUUACAGGGUCAACAACAUCCCGAAGCGUCCCCCAUUGUUUAUGUUGACCCGGCUUUUUAGCUCUUGUCUGGUCUACCUCCUUUUUAUGCGCCCGUUAUUCCGCCAGAGUCUCCAGUAUUUACUUCGUUUUCUUGUUUGUGUUUGCAGUCGUGGCCAAAGGAGGA